GGGGGAGUUGGCCUGAUGCCCCUAUGGGCUCGGCCUGCCGCCGCCGCGGGGCCUCCCGAUACUGCGCGCCAGGCCGGGUUCCGGAAAGCGGGCGGCGCUGGCGGGGAACGCAGCAGCAGGGAAAAUGCCCUGACUGCGGGGUCGCGGCAGUGGAAAGCUGGUGCGUGAUACAGCACCGUGCGCGAGAUGCGGCUAGACUCGGCGCGCCCGAAACCAGGAGACACUGAGGCAGCUAUGUGGCUGAAUCUUCUCGUGCAGUCCCCAAACAGCCGGGAAGGACAGAUCCUGAACAUGACGGGCUGGCGAUUGACGACACAUGCUGCAGGACCCACAUGGGGUCACUACAUGCCAGCACAGAUAAGGGUUAUGAUCCUGGCUUCUUACCCAGAUAACUCAGGAUCACUAUCCCAGGGGUGGUCCCACCCAUAGUGAGCCAGGCCCUCCUCAUCAGUCAUCAACCAAGAAAAUGCUGCACAGACUUCUCUGCAGACAGUGUGGUAGAGGACUCAUCUAUUAAAGGCCCUACCAUCUCCCAGCUCUGCAACAUUGAGGACCAAGUCUCUGGCACAUGAACCCAGAGGAAGGGAAGUAUCAGCUCCAGGGCUUCAGCCUUCCUGUCUACCUAAGGGCAGAGGUCAGGGACAGAAACAAAAUCAAGAAGCAUAUGGGACACACAGGAACAGGCUUCUGGGAGUCUUGAGACCUGCUCACAGGGCACAUCCUUAGCAUUCAUGCCCAGCAGAUUCUCUGUGCAGCAGACCAGCCAUUGCACACAUGGAGGAAAAUGGCAAGACAGACCUACAGACGAAAAGGAUCCAGAGUGACCAGAACCAAACCAUCACACGAUGAUGUCACAUGAGGGGCUGAUAUUGGGGGAAUGAUGCUGGAAGAUAAUGGUGAUUGACACUUUCUGGCUAGACCUUCCUGGAUCUGCAGAAGCAUGAAACCAAUGUUUACAUGCAUGGGGAGGUGGUCCCUAACAGGAGGAUGCCUUGGAUCCCAUCACUCCACACAGACUCACUUCUCACCUGUCCAGGCACCAAAUUUCAAGAGCAAAAUGAAGACUUGCUUGUGUCCUGGUGCAGGCUCAGUACCUGGUUCUGCAGAUGGUGGAGAGAAGGGUUAAGGUGGGGUUUGGGAGGCACUGGAGAGAGCCCAAUGAACUCAGCUGUCCACCAGAGGUGGCACUUGUUAGGUAGUCAUAACUAGACUGCCAUAGUUGCUGUUCCUCCGCCCUGAAAGCCCAGUCUUGUGCCACUGGGCAGAACUGUGUUGGCCAUCAGGCUUGGUCCCUGGCUUCUUGGCCAGUGUACUUAUGUGUGUUGUUUAUCAGAGUUUAUGUUGACAUUACCCAGGACCAAGCUUGGCAGUCCCAGCCUCUGCCACUGGCCUUUGUGCCCUUCUGGUAGAGCUGAGCUCUGCAUCACACAUGUACAGAGAAUGAAGAGAGCCACUGUAACAUGCUGAGCAUUUAUUAUGCAUCAACAGCCUUCAGCCACUGUAAGUAUUAACUCCGUCAUGUAUAUCCAGGGGCUGUUGUUACACAUAUUGCUCAGAGUCACAUGGCCAUUAUGUGGAGAAGCCAGUGUCAGGCAGGUGUUCUCUAUGCCAUCUUGGGAUGCCACUUCUCUGUCACACUGUGCUGACAGACAGGAAGGGUCCCCAAACCUUCAAGUACAAUCAGGAGGGCAGAUCUUCUUACCCAGUGGAGGGUUUGGUCCCAGGAUCCCCUCUCUGGAACGUUCUGAGAAGUCACCCUGCUGCAUACUCUGGAGAAGCAUGGAAAGAAUUUUGUAAAUGCCAGUUUUGUUUAUAUCAUUCAGCUAUAGGUUGGCUUCCGGCUUACCCAAAGACAGCAUAAAGCCCCAAACUAUCUUUCUGUUGGAUCCAACACAAAUCAUCUCUCAGUUGGGUUUUGGGGUCUCAUGCCAUAGCUUUGGGUACCACAGGCUAGUGGCGUCUAGGGGGAUGCUGGGCUAAGGUAGGAAUUCUAGAGAAAUGAACUGUGUGCAGCCCCACAGUGAGGGUGGAGUCUGUCUCCAAGUGCUGCUGCAGGUGGUAGCCUGGAUGAAGUCUGUGAUUGUUUCUGCAGUGAUGAGAAGAAAUCCACUCCCGCCACAGAGCAUCCAGGAUUUGAUCAGCUUUCUCAUGCAAAGCUUUUCUUUCAGAUCACAGGAAGAAAGGUAUGCUGCCUGACCUGUUGGCUGGGCUUUCCUUCUGGGUAUCUUACUUCUGGUGGCCUGCUGGAGUUUGGCCAUAGCCCUGUCAGACUUUGCAACAUCCCAGGGAGAAUGGUGUUCUACCCUGCUGGCCUUCUCCAGGCCUAGGCUGGGUCUCCUUGGGGACAGAGUCUGUGUUGCAGAUCAGUCUGGGAAACGUGAGUCUCUAGCAGAAUUCAGCGCUGGGGAAACCGCUGCAAAAUUACUCCCUUCCUUCUCUGGAGGCCAGUGGACAAGAGAGCAUUGUGUAGGGUCAAAGCCCUCCUGUCACAAAAGGGCCUUUCAGAGAAACUGAUGGGGUGGGCAGGACCCUGGCAGCCUGGGCUCCUGGGGACAUGCCCUAUCUUCCAUGUGCACUGGGAGAUGCAUGUAUGUGUGUAUGUGCACAAGUAUGUUCAUGUAUGUGUCUGUUCAUGUGUCUCUUCUGUAUGUGUGUAUGUAUGUAUAUUUGUGUGUGCAUGAGUGCAUGUGUGUGCACAGUGUGUAUAUAUAUAUGUGCAUAUAUGCACAUAUAUAUGUAUACUGGGGACAGGGAGGUAGGUUUGUGUAUUUGCUGUAAACUGGGAUAGAACAGAGUACUAACAGAUUUCUCUGAGAAA